CGGGUAGCUCAGUUGGUAGAGCAGAGGACUGAAAAUCCUUGUGUCGGCGGUUCAAACCCGCCCUUGG
rnacentral:tRNA from 1 species